rnacentral:lncRNA from 1 species
CAGCGGCAAUCCAGGAAGGGAAAUAGGUGAGUCUGAAAGAGGGACCGGUAGAAGCCCAUGAUAAACAUGGUAGUAGAUGCUGUUUACAGCACAAGUUUGAGUGAAAAAAGCAGCCGUAACAAGUCCAAACCGCUUAGCUACAUCAAGAGCCCAUGUCAAGUGUGGAUCAUAAAUCACGGCCUGAACUGGUUCGCCAUCGUCUUCUAGUUUCGUGAUAAGAUCAGCCAAGGUUUUCGAGCCGACGGUGGCAAAUUUUUCCACGUAGGCCUCGAAGCUUUCAGCUGCUGCAUAGCCACCGUCGUCGUAGCCAUCUGAAAUGGUUUCAAAGUUAAUUGACCUCUUAGGAUCGGCGUGCAUAGACUUGGACAGGGAGACAGUGUUGGCAAAGGUGACUUUGACACCCUUUGCCUCCAAACGCUUACAGAAUUGGAGCAGGGGGUUUAUGUGGCCCUGGACAGGAAGUGGCAGAGCUAGAACAUGAACUUUGCUUGAUGCCAUCGUCAUUUCCUUCGAUUUUUCUGUGUAUUGCUGUCCGAGUACUGCGACUACUAAUGACUAACAAGAAUGCCGUUCUUACCCGGUGGACCGCAGCCGUCUGCUGGCUGCCAGAGUUGACUUGUCAGAAAGAAAAAGAUAUGGAAAGGAGCUAGGAAGGCAUUCCCCAUGUAUUAACUGGGGAAAAAAAAAGAACUGCCAGGAUAUCUUGAACGUUGGCAUAUGAUGAUCUUCCAAUUUCCAAUGGUUUUAGAUGGAAUUUUCAUCGUAACAUAUUUCGGGGACUGCUCUUGCAAUAUUGUAAUUCAUCCAUCAGUACUUUUUUUUUUUUUUUUUUUGUAUUAUCAAACAAACCAGUCAUUGAUUGGAUGAAUUUUCAAGACACAGUUAAUAUUUAUGAAAUGCUAUGCAGAGACUCGUCAAUUUUAGAAUGGACUCAUUCAGUAUGCAGUCAUCUUCCAAACAAGUUUUCUUUCUUCCAUUUUUUUUUUUGGGAUUUUUUAGCAUAUCUAAAUGUUUUUUUUAUACACAAAUUCAUUUUAGAAUCCAAAUUCAAAUUGAAAUGAUCUGAUAUAGAUCCAAACGACUCAACCUUCAACAUUAAUUUAAAGAGGAAACAAAUUUGUUUAUGUUUAAGAAGAAUGCCGUUCAAUUAUAGCGGCAGGAAUUUUAGAUGAAGAACCUCUUAGAACGGUCUUACUGUGCAAGGCUUGUAAUAAUAAUGAUAAUAAUUGAUUUUUUUUUUCCGGAAACGUUAGAAUAAUAAUUGAUAUUUGCAUGGGGGAGAUAGGUACGUGCUAUUCGACGGCUAAUUGGACUAUUGACCUCUUUUAUGUCUUCUUUUGCCAAAGCACGUUACCGGCUAUUGUCUUUUAUUCUGCCAUGGUGGGAGCCUGCUCUGCUGGCUUGCUAUUCUAGUGGUCAUUAGUGACGUUAGGUUAGUCGGCCCUUCUCAUCAAAAAAAAACUCCAGCAUCCUUUUGCCAUGUACUCUCUCAGCCAAGACAUGGAGUAUUAUACUUUGCUUCGGCCAACACUUUCUCAAUUAAAAUUAGGGUUUGGCUAAUGAAUGAUUGAAAAAUUCGUUGAAAUAGUUUCAAGGGUUAAUUUUUUGACGAAAGGUAAAAUUAAUUUGAGAAGGGAUAGUAAAUGUAAAUGUGUGCAUUGACGUGAUAAAUUAGUGUGUGUGUGUGUUUUUUUUUUUUUUUUUAAAAAUAACCUUAAAAUCAAACAUCAAACUUUACACUGAAUCAACAAUUCCCCUUGGAUAAUUAAUCGUCGCAAUAACUCGAUUAGAGUUGAUAGAUAGUUGGAUACCUAAAUUAUUUCAAAUAAUAUUUGGCUUGCAUCAUAAACACAUGCAUUUUCCAACCCACUUUUUUAUAUUUUCAACCAUAUUUUUAUUUCACAUAUAUCAAAUCAUAAAAAGUGCUACAAUAAGUAUUCUAAAUAAUAUUUCAAAUAAUACUCUAUCCAAACAAAUCUGUUAAUUAAUGGUCACGAUACUACUGCCUAUUUCUUUUCUUUUUUUUUAAAUCCCACAAUAAUAAUAAUAAUAAUAAUAAUAAUAAUAUUUCUUUCCCAAAAACAACAGAAGAGGAUGGGACUUAUUCUUAGUUGCAGCCGUCCUCAAUCUGGAAGCUCCAAUUGAAGCCUCUCUGUUCUUUUGUGGUCUUGUACGGAGCAAACACAACACAAGAAUAAGACAUGCAGUUGCUUGCUAAAAGCCAAAAAGAAACAAGAAUAUUUACAUAUGUGUUAGUUGCGUACCAAAACAGACAAGAGGAAGGGCCGGGGAAGAGAUGGAGACAGAGACGAGUUCACAAGAAGAAAAGUCGAACCAUACUUUUCUAGUAGAGAGAAGAAACUAAAACGAUUUUGAUGAAAGAAAAAACGAACUUCUUGUAGUCUUUUCUUUCCAUACAAUCAUAGAUCUUGUCUUUAAUUAUAUAUAUAUAUAUAUUUUUUCCACAAGCUCAUAGAAAUUAUUUUCUUCAUCCAACUUGAUAUUACUUUAACCGGAGCAUGAAUGAUUGUCAGCAGCUAGCUGUGCAUUACACCUACCAUAAUAACAUAUUAUUAGAUGAGAGUAUUGUACAAUUGCCCACCCACCCCUUGACCCACCUUUCAAGCCGAGCUCCUGCUUGACUUUUUUUUUUUUUUUUUUUUUUUUCGGUUGAAGGGUAUUCAGGCCUACAACUGAUUAGUCCCACCAACUCUGAGGAGAACGGACUCCACCGAUUCUUAGGAAAUUCCGCCGGAUUGCCAAGCUCGAGAUGGAAUCCAAACCGUCUCACCCUAAUGAGGACUAUACGACCGCUCGAGCAACCCGUUGGGGUGGCCCGUGCUUGACUGAGUCAGAAAUUUUGAAAAGAAAUGUGGGUGUUUGUAUUCUGGAUCGUUCCUAACUUAAAUUACGUACGAGGAAAUUUACUUUUGAAUCUUCUUUAAGUACCAUUAAAGAUGACAAGGGCCUUUUCCUUUGUAGUAUUUUCAAUUGGGAAGAAACUUGUGAUUCUUUCGUCCCCCCUGAAUAUCUUCUUUCCCAAAAUGCAAAUGGCUUUUUUCUUCCCCGUAAUCCCACAUGGAUUCAGCUUUCUCUUGGCCAAAUUGCCAGCAAACCUUGCUCGGUUUCAGUUCGCACGGUAGGAUCAAGUGUGAUUGGAUAGGAAAUUAUUUGAAAUAUUAUUCAAAAUAAUUAUCAUAGCAAGUUCUGCGAUGCGAUAUUUAUGUGAUAAAAAAUAAAUUUGUGAUACACCUUUUGCAAAAUGAUAUAUAUGAGAUAAAAAUGUGAUUAAGAAAAUAAAAAAGGUGCGUUGGAAAAAUGUAUUUAAAAUAUAGGUAAAUAAUUUUUUUUUUAAACAAAUAACUCCUAUCCAAACAUGGACUUGACUUCUCUUUAUUGGAUUUUCUUUGUUUUCUGUAGUGCACAUUUGGAUGCGUGACAGGUGUAUUUAUUUAUUAACUUUGAUGCAUGACAUUUAUAUCAUUUAUUAGCAAGGGUUAGGAUUGAUCAAAUAUAAAACCAUCAUGCCCUUUUCUAAUAAUGUCGAAAAUGUAGAGAGAAUCCACCACGGAGGAGCCAAAUUCAUCCAAACACACUCGAGAGAGGGAAAGACGGGAGGCUUCACCCGUAGAAAUAAGCACAAUUUUCUGGUUGAAGAAACUAAUAAAAUAUAUAAGUUGUCUCAUUUACUUCAUAUAUUUCAAAGAAACACGAAUCAUGACAUAGAAUUUAUCCGUGCAAGAAAUUAUUACAAAUAAAAAAGUACUAAAUUAUUUAUCACGAGAGUACUGUUUGGAGGACAAGGUACGUUGCCCUUUUCAGCGUAGCAUCUACGUCUAGUUCUUGGCUUUCUGGCCUGCUAAUCAGCAACAAAUUCAUCAAUGUUCUUAUCAGAACUUCCACCGUCAUCAAUAGCUUCUUUAGCUAAAGCCUUCCAUUCAAUGGCAUUCUCUUUAAUCUGCUUUCCCUUUUCGCCUCCAUAAUCUCCCUUAUACAGGAAACUAACGUUUCCCUUCUCACAAUUCCUUUCUCAUCCGCAUCAGCCUUUACACCAACCCCCCAAAUGUCGCGCGAGAAACUUAGCAUUGGUGGGCUGGUCUGUCCACUGCGGCGCUGCCACCACCGGCACCCCUAAACUCAACGCCUCCAGCACUGAAUUGAACCCGCAAUGAGUGACAAAACAAGCGACGGAUUCAUGUGCCAAUACCUCAAGCUGUGGACUCCAUGUCACCACCAAGCCUUUCUCGGAUGUCUCCUCAGCAAAUUUGCUUGGAAGCUUUUCCUUCUCAAAUGCUCUCACGACCCACAAGAAUUUGAAUCCGCUUUCCUUCAAAGCUGAAGCUAUUUCCUCCACUUGUUCUACGUCAAUUUCUGUCCAGCUACCAAAUGAUACAUAAACAACCGAGUCCUUAGGUUGACUAUUUAGCCAGUUGAUGCACAAGCUGGAGUCCGGCUUGAAGAGAUUUAUUCCAUAACCGAUAUCAUCCUCAAGGCGUUUAUCCAAGUAAAUGGAUGGAACUGUUGGACCGACUGUAAUCACUCGCCAAAGUUUCGCAAUCCAAUUCACCGCCUGUUUGAUGGUAACAACAAACAAAAAGAGAUCAAAGUUGGUAGAUUUAUUAUACUGCAUAGAAUUUAGGAUCCCUGUAAGUCAUACUGUUCUUGCUAAGAGAGAGGCUCAGUCGUAAGUAGGAAAGGUCUAUGCAGUAUAGUUGUAUAAGGGGAAGAAAUGCUUACAUCUUCCUCCAAUUUGUGGAAAUUGUUGAGGAUGACCCAAUCUGCUUGAUCAACGUUGGAGAACUGAUUGACAAGCAUGUGAAGAAAAGCAGGAUACGAAUCGGGAAGGUAAACAAAGGACGGAGUUUCCUUUGGUUGGAGCAGUGGCAAUCCAGGAAGGGAAAUAGGUGAGUCUGAAAGAGGGACCGGUAGAAGUCCAUGAUAAACAUUGUAGUAGAUGCUGUUUACAGCACAAGUUUGAGUGAAAAAGGCAGCUGUAACAAGUCCAAAUUGCUUAGCUACAUCAAGAGCCCAUGUCAAGAACGAAUCAUAAAUCACGGCCUGAACUGGUUCGCCCUUGUCCUCAAGCUUCCUGAUAAGAUCAGCCAACGCCUUUGAGCC